GGUCUACCCCCUUGUAUCUAUUCUCCCCUUCUCUGACGGCUGUAGCCGGCCAGGGUUUCCGGAGGUGAGUCCCUUGUCCACACCUCCAACCCCGCAGGCCCGUUUUAUAACAUGGACAGCCCCGCCCUCUAGUGUUGGCAACCGGGAGCCCUAAGGCGCCAUCAGCUUCAGAAUUUCUCUUUUACAACCUAAGCAAGACCUGGAGCACCUCGGAGCUGAGACCCGCAGUUCACCACACCACCUGCCUUAGCCCUAGGCUCAUCUUUUCAUCCCACCCACCCCCUUCUCUAUUCACGGAGUCCUGGGUGGCUGCGACCUGCGUAGAUGAUUUAACAGACUGCCCCUGCUCCUGCUCCUGCUCCUCCUCCUCUUCCCUGUUCUCUCGCCUCCUCUUCCAGUCUGGGCGCCCAGACUCGGCGGAGCGCAGCGCCUGCCAACCGCGGUGCCUCGGGCCGCCCGGCGCCCCGCGCUCCCGGGUUCUUUCUCGCCGCAGCCCGGCGGCCACUGGCACAAACAAGGACGCUGGCGGGGAGAACGCCCCGAGCUCAGCGUACCCCAGAAUCGAGUGCUGAGAGAAGCAGUGCUUUGAUCCAGUUCAGAAGGAAAAGGAGCGGGUUCCGAGUGAGACUUCUGCAGCCAGCGGGACGCCCCAGUUGGCCCAGUGCGGCGCGGCUGCACGCACCGUCCACAAGGCAAGCACAAAUGCCUGCAAUGCUGAGAACCACACAUAACAAGAGAGCGAUUGUGUCACCGGCUUCUACUGCUUCAUACCCGGAGCACCAAAAGCAGUGGCAUGAGGACAAAGGCAACUGUGCUGAAACGGAAGUCAUGAUGUUGGAAGCUUGACGGCUGAAGCUUCCAGAGAAAUGGUACAUAUAGAAUUCUAUCUGACUUGAAAUUUUUCCUUCCUUGAGCUCCAGAUGCUGAGACUAAGAGGUUCCAUGUGACACUGCCUUCCAGGAAGCAGCCGUUCCAGGAACCCACUUUGCACCCCCUUUUCACAAUCUCCUUAUCUCCC
rnacentral:lncRNA from 1 species